CGGACGGGUGAGUAAUGUCUGGGAAACUGCCUGAUGGAGGGGGAUAACUACUGGAAACGGUAGCUAAUACCGCAUAACGUCGCAAGACCAAAGAGGGGGACCUUAGGGCCUCUUGCCAUCGGAUGUGCCCAGAUGGGAUUAGCUAGUAGGUGGGGUAACGGCUCACCUAGGCGACGAUCCCUAGCUGGUCUGAGAGGAUGACCAGCCACACUGGAACUGAGACGCGGUCCAG
rnacentral:rRNA from 1 species